UACGGAGGGGGCUAGCGUUGUUCGGAAUUACUGGGCGCAAAGCGCACGUAGGCGGCUUUGUAAGUUAGAGGUGAAAGCCCGGGGCUCAACUCCGGAAUUGCCUUUAAGACUGCAUCGCUAGAACGUCGGAGAGGUAAGUGGAAUUCCGAGUGUAGAGGUGAAAUUCGUAGAUAUUCGGAAGAACACCAGUGGCGAAGGCGACUUACUGGACGACUGUUGACGCUGAGGUGCGAAAGCGUGGGGAGCAAACAGG
rnacentral:rRNA from 1 species